UAGGGAAUCUUCGGCAAUGGGGGCAACCCUGACCGAGCAACGCCGCGUGAGUGAAGAAGGUUUUCGGAUCGUAAAGCUCUGUUGUAAGUCAAGAACGAGUGUGAGAGUGGAAAGUUCACACUGUGACGGUAGCUUACCAGAAAGGGACGGCUAACUACGUGCCAGCAGCCGCGGUAAUACGUAGGUCCCGAGCGUUGUCCGGAUUUAUUGGGCGUAAAGCGAGCGCAGGCGGUUUGAUAAGUCUGAAGUUAAAGGCUGUGGCUCAACCAUAGUUCGCUUUGGAAACUGUCAAACUUGAGUGCAGAAGGGGAGAGUGGAAUUCCAUGUGUAGCGGUGAAAUGCGUAGAUAUAUGGAGGAACACCGGUGGCGAAAGCGGCUCUCUGGUCUGUAACUGACGCUGAGGCUCGAAAGCGUGGGGAGCGAACAGGAUUAGAUACCCUGGUAGUCCACGCCGUNNCGAUGAGUGCUAGGUGUUGGAUCCUUUCCGGGAUUCAGUGNCGCAGCUNANNCAUUAANCACUCCGCCUGGGGGAGUACNACCGCAAGGUU
rnacentral:rRNA from 1 species